GACGAACGCUGGCGGCGUGCUUAACACAUGCAAGUCGAACGAAGAGCGAUGGAAGCUUGCUUCUAUCAAUCUUAGUGGCGAACGGGUGAGUAACGCGUAAUCAACCUGCCCUUCAGAGGGGGACAACAGUUGGAAACGACUGCUAAUACCGCAUACGAUCUGACCUCGGCAUCGAGGAUAGAUGAAAGGUGGCCUCUACAUGUAAGCUAUCACUGAAGGAGGGGAUUGCGUCUGAUUAGCUAGUUGGAGGGGGAACGGCCCACCAAGGCGAUGAUCAGUAGCCGGUCUGAGAGGAUGAACGGCCACAUUGGGACUGAGACACGGCCCAGACUCCUACGGGAGGCAGCAGUGGGGAAUCUUCCGCAAUGGACGAAAGUCUGACGGAGCAACGCCGCGUGAGUGAUGACGGCCUUCGGGUUGUAAAGCUCUGUUAAUCGGGACGAAAGGCCUUUUUGCGAAUAGUGAGAAGGAUUGACGGUACCGGAAGAGAAAGCCACGGCUAACUACGUG
rnacentral:rRNA from 1 species